AUACGGAGGGUGCGAGCGUUAAUCGGAAUUACUGGGCGUAAAGCGCGCGUAGGUGGCUUGUUAAGUCAGAUGUGAAAGCCCCGGGCUCAACCUGGGAAUUGCAUUUGAAACUGGCAGGCUAGAGUAUGGUAGAGGGUAGUGGAAUUCCGGGUGUAGCGGUGAAAUGCGUAGAUAUCCGGAGGAACACCAGUGGCGAAGGCGGCUACCUGGACCAAUACUGACGCUGAGGUGCGAAAGCGUGGGGAGCAAACAGGAUUAGAUACCCCAGUAGUCC
rnacentral:rRNA from 1 species